rnacentral:rRNA from 1 species
UACGUAGGGGGCAAGCGUUGUCCGGAUUUAUUGGGCGUAAAGCGCGUGUAGGCGGCCAGGUAGGUCCGCUGUGAAAACUCGAGGCUCAACCUCGAGACGUCGGCGGAAACCAUCUGGCCAGAGUCCGGAAGAGGAGAGUGGAAUUCCUGGUGUAGCGGUGAAAUGCGCAGAUAUCAGGAAGAAUAUCCGUGGCGAAGGCGGCUCUCUGGGACGGUACUGACGCUGAGACGCGAAAGCGUGGGGAGCGAACAGG